rnacentral:lncRNA from 1 species
AUGUUCAUAAAAAUGAGUCAACUACUAACAGACACAUGGAAGAACCUCACAAACACAACCCUGACCAAAGAAAGCAGACACAACAGAAGACAUAUUGUACGAUUCCAUUUAUAUCAAGUGCCAGAAGAGAGAAAAUUAACUACAUCACCGAGUGACAUAAAACAUGCACCCCCCCCAAAAAAGCAAGAAAUUAUUACUGUAAAAGGCCAGAUAGUGUUCCCAGCUAGGGGAAGUGCUGGGGGGGGUGGGGCGGGUCGUGGUCAGGAGCGAGCACAUGACAGCCAGGUGGGGGGCGGUGAGGGGCUUCUGGGGCGUGGUAAGGUAUUUCUUAACGUGGGAGGCACAGGUGUUUUACAACUGACACCAUAUAUCCGUUGUCCGUACUUUUCGGAAUGUUCUAUUUCACAGUCGAAACGUACGGUGGUGGUGUUGAUUCUAAACAGAGUGAACAGAGGUCCGACCCACGAGGCCUUCCUGGAGCCCUCCACUCAGUGUCCUCUGGGCUCCUUCAGCCUCUGCUGCUUAUUCAGUCACCGCCCACCCUGGGCUGUGACCCGCGGUGGCCCGGCGUGGCUCGCCCGCCAGCACAGGAGCUGUGAGGCCAGCGCCCAGCCAGAGCGCUGCCCCGGGCCCGGGCAGACGGCUCGGGACAGGCACGGGGCCGCGACCCCCGGCACCCAGGGCCCCCUGCCUCACGCUACCACCUUCGAGCCUAAUUGUACUGUAACUGUCAUCGUGGCCAGCCCGCGGGAGCAGACGGCCGCUGCUGACUCCGCACCGCCACUUAACUCUGACUCUGCCUGUCCAUCCGUCUCUCUGCACCCCGUUGGGGCAUGUUCCCUAAGGCCUUCCCGGGAGCUGUUCUCUCUGCUGGAAGGCCCCCUCUCUGUCAUUUUGUUGAGCUCCUACUCAUCCUUCAAGAGCCAGCUCCGGCCUCCUCUCCUCUGUGCAAACUGCCUUCCUCUGAGCUCCCACAGGUCCCUAUUUCGCCUGGCCGCAGCCUGUCCAUGCCCUGCCCCACAGAAUCCUUCUCGACUCCUGAAGCUCUUUCAUCUCCCCGGCUUGUCCUCAUGGCCUGGGUCUGACACACUCUGGGCCUCAGGGGUGUGUCGGUCACCCCCGCUGUUCAGCGCGGGCUCUGAUAAGUCCCAGCCAGCUCCACAGCGCACGCGCUCACGGAGGCUCUGGAGGCGAGAGACAUCUCCUCAAGGUUCCCGCCACCGCCCACUCCUGGCAUGCACUGCGCCUGCGCGGGCGCCCGCGACCUCGCGGUUAGGCAUCUCUACGUCCGUCAUGCGCCGGCCGGCGAAAGAGGCGGACCCCUGGCUGAAGAGGGCGGGGUGGGCGGGGCCUCGAGACGGGAAGGGCGGGGCGAGGGCGGGGCCCGUGUCACGUACCUGA